GUGGUUCUUUACUCCAGAAUAUGCAAUCAUGCAUAAUUAAAUGUGAUUGACAUGUCAGUAAUCGAGUAACACAU
rnacentral:miRNA from 1 species